CCUCGGAUGAUCUGCCCACCUCAGCCUCCCAAAGUGCUGGGAUUGCAGGCCUGAACCACCAUGCCUGGAUGCUACCACCCUUUUUAUAAUAUGCUUCUACAAAUGCACAAGCAUAGCAGUGGCCUUGUGACUCUUCUGUCUCUUUAUAUUGUCCUUGGGUGGAUGGAAGUCUUACUUUUAAUGUAGACAAACUUAUCGGUCUUUUACGUUUUGUCCUUUAUAUUGUCUAUAUUGUCCUUAGGUGGAUGGAAGUCUUACUUUUAAUGUAGACAAACUUAUCGGUCUUUUAUGUUUUGUCCUUUUUGUUUAGUCUGGCUUAAAUAAUUUUUUCUACUCUCCGAUUCAUAAAUAUCAUCAUCCAUGUAUUCUACACGUUUUAUAGUUUUACUUAUCACAUUUGAGGCUUUAAUUCAUGUGGUAUUAACUUCUUAUGUGAAGAAGGGAUUAUGUCAUUUUUCCCCAAAUAGACAACUAAUUAUCCUAACAUCAUUUAAUAGUUCAUCCUUUCCUUACCUUAAUGUGUUUUGGUGUUGAGUUUCUAGAUAUGGCACAAAUCAGGAAGGCAUUAUGCAAAUUAAUGAUGUUUAUAAAAUACUUCAGUAUACAAUUGUGCUUUCUAAUUUUAGAUACUAUAAAAAUGGAAUUAUAGAAUUAUGAGAUGCUAAAGCUGGAAUAGACAUCGACAAAAGUCAGUUAGCAUUUCAGUAAAAAAUAUUGGAGUGUCUACUACAUCUCCAUUAUUUUACCAUGCAUGUAUACUUGGAAAGCAGAGUAUGUGGAUAUGUAAGAGAAUACAAGUUCAGCCUGGUAGAACAGAAGGAGGGAGCCAAGUCUUUGGUCUUGUAGAUCUGGGUCCAAAUCUUGGCUUUGCUCUUGAGCUGUCAUCUCCACCAUAUCAUUUGAUCUCUCUAAUCUGCAAGAGAAAAAUAUUUUGCAAAAUUGUUUGGAAAUUAGUAAUUAUGUUUAUAAACAUAUAGAGCAGUAUGUGGCAUGCAAUCAGUGAUUGAUAGAUUAUAGUUGUCAUUUGGUUGGGAAGAUAAGACUAAUGUGUAUGUCAUACUUAUAUCUUGUAAACUAGAAGAUACUUAAAAUUGCUCUGGGAAUUCACAGAAGAAUAUCUCAUCACGGGGAAUAUAGCUUCAGUGAAGAAAUGAAACUUGAAGAUGUGUUCAAAGGAUGGAUUUCAGUUAAUUUCUAUAGAUUGAAGCCAGGUUGGAUGGAUGGAUUUCAUUUAUAUUUCUGGACAUGGACAGCAAUAAAGUGUCUUAAACAAUAAAAACGUAGAAAAUAGAUAAGAAAACGAUGCAUUUUCUCUUGACUGUUGGCAUUUGUGAAAAUAAUUAAUAGUAUACUUUAUUUUUGACAAAGUAUCAGUGGACUUGAAUUUAAUGCAUAAACGUAACUUUUUCAUGUAGAUAUUACACUUCUCACAGAAUUUUUAAGACUCUUGUUAUGUCCAGUUAAAAUUCCAUUCACAUUUACAAAAUUCAUACUUAUGUAUAAAAUCAAAGUAGCUAUUAAAUUUUCCUUAUACUUUCGAA